GACGAACGCUGGCGGCGUGCUUAACACAUGCAAGUCGAACGGAAAGGCCCUGCUUUUGUGGGGUGCUCGAGUGGCGAACGGGUGAGUAACACGUGAGUAACCUGCCCUUGACUUUGGGAUAACUUCAGGAAACUGGGGCUAAUACCGGAUAGGAGCUCCUGCUGCAUGGUGGGGGUUGGAAAGUUUCGGCGGUUGGGGAUGGACUCGCGGCUUAUCAGCUUGUUGGUGGGGUAGUGGCUUACCAAGGCUUUGACGGGUAGCCGGCCGGAGAGGGUGACCGGCCACAUUAGGACUGAGAGAGGGCCCAGACUCCUACGGGAGGCAGUAGUGGGGAAUAUGGCACAAUGGGCGGAAGCCUGAUGCAGCAACGCCGCGUGCGGGAUGACGGCCUUCGGGUUGUAAACCGCUUUCGCCUGUGACGAAGCGUGAGUGACGGUAAUGGGUAAAGAAGCACCGGCUAACUACGUG
rnacentral:rRNA from 1 species